UACGUAGGUGGCAAGCGUUGUCCGGAUUUACUGGGCGUAAAGCGCGCGCAGGCGGGCUGGUCAGUCCGGGGUGAAAUCUCACGGCUCAACCGUGAGCGGUCCCCGGAUACGGCCAGUCUUGAGGUGUCUAGAGGAGAGCGGAAUUCCCGGUGUAGUGGUGGAAUGCGUAGAUAUCGGGAAGAACACCAGUGGCGAAAGCGGCUCUCUGGGGACCACCUGACGCUGAGGCGCGAAAGCGUGGGGAGCGAACCGG
rnacentral:rRNA from 1 species